UACAGAGGUCUCAAGCGUUGUUCGGAUUCAUUGGGCGCAAAGGGUGCGUAGGCGGCGCGGUAAGUCGGGUGUGAAAUCUCGGAGCUUAACUCCGAAACUGCAUUCGAUACUGCCGUGCUUGAGGACUGGAGAGGAGACUGGAAUUUACGGUGUAGCGGUGAAAUGCGUAGAUAUCGUAAGGGAGACCAGUGGCGAAGGCGGGUCUCUGGACAGUUCCUGACGCUGAGGCACGAAGGUCAGGGGAGCAAACGGG
rnacentral:rRNA from 1 species